AUUGAACGCUGGCGGCAUGCCUUACACAUGCAAGUCGAACGGUAACAGGUCUUCGGAUGCUGACGAGUGGCGAACGGGUGAGUAAUACAUCGGAACGUGCCCGAUCGUGGGGGAUAACGGAGCGAAAGCUUUGCUAAUACCGCAUACGAUCUACGGAUGAAAGCAGGGGACCGCAAGGCCUUGCGCGGACGGAGCGGCCGAUGGCAGAUUAGGUAGUUGGUGGGAUAAAAGCUUACCAAGCCGACGAUCUGUAGCUGGUCUGAGAGGACGACCAGCCACACUGGGACUGAGACACGGCCCAGACUCCUACGGGAGGCAGCGGUGGGGAAUUUUGGACAAUGGGCGAAAGCCUGAUCCAGCCAUGCCGCGUGCAGGAUGAAGGCCUUCGGGUUGUAAACUGCUUUUGUACGGAACGAAAAGCCUCUUUCUAAUAAAGAGAGGUCAUGACGGUACCGUAAGAAUAAGCACCGGCUAACUACGUGCCAGCAGCCGCCGUAAGAC
rnacentral:rRNA from 1 species